AGAGUUUGAUCCUGGCUCAGGACGAACGCUGGCGGCGUGCCUAAUACAUGCAAGUCGAGCGAGCAAUUUUGACGGAAUACUUCGGUAGGAAGUCAGAAGCGCGAGCGGCGGAUGGGUGAGUAACACGUGGGCAACCUGCCCUUUAGCUUGGGAUACCACUUGGAAACAGGUGCUAAUACCAAAUAAGCAGCAAGAGCGCAUGCUCAAGCUGAGAAAGGCGGCUUUCGAGCUGUCACUAAAGGAUGGGCCCGCGGUGCAUUAGCUAGUUGGUAAGGUAACGGCCUACCAAGGCGAUGAUGCAUAGCCGAGUUGAGAGACUGACCGGCCACAUUGGGACUGAGACACGGCCCAAACUCCUACGGGAGGCAGCAGUAGGGAAUCUUCCACAAUGGACGCAAGUCUGAUGGAGCAACGCCGCGUGAGUGAAGAAGGUUUUCGGAUCGUAAAGCUCUGUUGUUGGUGAAGAAGGACAAGGGUAGUAACUGAUCUUUGUUUGACGGUAAUCAACCAGAAAGUCACGGCUAACUACGUGCCAGCAGCCGCGGUAAUACGUAGGUGGCAAGCGUUGUCCGGAUUUAUUGGGCGUAAAGCGAACGCAGGCGGGAAGAUAAGUCAGCUGUGAAAGCCCCCAGCUUAACUGGGGAACUGCAGCUGAGACUAUGUUUCUUGAGUGCAGAAGAGGAGAGUGGAACUCCAUGUGUAGCGGUGGAAUGCGUAGAUAUAUGGAAGAACACCAGUGGCGAAGGCGGCUCUCUGGUCUGUAACUGACGCUGAGGUUCGAAAGCAUGGGUAGCGAACAGGAUUAGAUACCCUGGUAGUCCAUGACGUAUACGAUGAGUGCU
rnacentral:rRNA from 1 species